rnacentral:rRNA from 1 species
UACGUAGGGUGCAAGCGUUACUCGGAAUUACUGGGCGUAAAGCGUGCGCAGGCGGUUAUAUAAGUCAGAUGUGAAAUCCCCGGGCUCAACCUGGGAACUGCAUUUGAGACUGUAUGGCUAGAGUGUGUCAGAGGGGGGUAGAAUUCCACGUGUAGCAGUGAAAUGCGUAGAUAUGUGGAGGAAUACCGAUGGCGAAGGCAGCCCCCUGGGAUGACACUGACGCUCAUGCACGAAAGCGUGGGGAGCAAACAGG